rnacentral:tRNA from 1 species
UCCCUGGUGGCUCAGAUGGUAAAGCAUCUGCCUGCAAUGUGGGAGACCCGGGUUCGAUUCCUGGGUUGGGAA